AACGAACGCUGGCGGCAGGCUUAACACAUGCAAGUCGAACGCCCCGCCAGGGGAGUGGCAGACGGGUGAGUAACGCGUGGGAACAUACCCUUUUCUACGGAAUAGCUCUGGGAAACUGGAAUUAAUACCGUAUACGCCCUACGGGGGAAAGAUUUAUCGGGGAAGGAUUGGCCCACGUUGGAUUAGCUAGUUGGCGGGGUAAAGGCCUACCAAGGCGACGAUCUAUAGCUGGUCUGAGAGGAUGAUCAGCCACAUUGGGACUGAGACACGGCCCAAACUCCUACGGGAGGCAGCAGUGGGGAAUAUUGGACAAUGGGCGCAAGCCUGAUCCAGCCAUGCCGCGUGAGUGAUGAAGGCCUUAGAGUUGUAAAGCUCUUUCACCGAUGAAGAUAAUGACGGUAGUCGGAGAAGAAGCCCCGGCUAACUUCGUG
rnacentral:rRNA from 1 species